GGCCUGAUGGUCUAGUAGUAUGAUUCCUUGUUAGGGGUUCACAUUGUGUGAUUCACGUCGAGGAGGUCCCGGGUUCAAUUCCCGGUUAGGCCC